UACGGGGGGGGCAAGCGUUGUUCGGAAUUACUGGGCGUAAAGGGCUCGUAGGUGGCCAACUAAGUCGGACGUGAAAUCCCUCGGCUUAACCGGGGAACUGCGUCCGAUACUGGUUGGCUUGAGUUUGGGAGAGGGAUGUGGAAUUCCAGGUGUAGCGGUGAAAUGCGUAGAUAUCUGGAGGAACACCGGUGGCGAAGGCGGCAUCCUGGACCGGUAUUGACGCUGAGGCGCGAAAAGCCAGGG
rnacentral:rRNA from 1 species